rnacentral:rRNA from 1 species
UACGGGGGGGGCAAGCGUUGUUCGGAAUUACUGGGCGUAAAGGGCUUGUAGGUGGCCAACUAAGUCAGACGUGAAAUCCCUCGGCUUAACCGGGGAACUGCGUCUGAUACUGGAUGGCUAGAGUGUGGGAGAGGGAUGCGGAAUUCCAGGUGUAGCGGUGAAAUGCGUAGAUAUCAGGAAGAACACCCGUGGCGAAGGCGGCUCUCUGGGACGGUACUGACGCUGAGACGCGAAAGCGUGGGGAGCGAACAGG